GCGCUUUUGAAUUUUUUUCCUGCGUCACAGAGCGCAGCUGUGGCUCUUCUUGCCAAUGGUAACAGAUGAUUUUGGCGAUGUGUUUAAGGACUAUCACCCUCACCCAGCGUGGGACUUCCUGAUAUUUCAUGGAGUUGUUGUGGAGAACAUUCGUAAUGACGACAGUCUCCAGUAGACUAAUCACCAUUAGGGCAAGACACACUGAGAAUGCUGGGCAGCAGAUCAUUCAUGAUAAGCAAGAAGACUGUGUAGCCCAGGAUGAGGGUCAUCUUGAACGAGGCUCGGUCCACGCUGUGGGGAGGCAGGUAGAAUGACAGGAUGUCAAUGAGCAUGAGGAACGAACUGGGGAUGAGCAGGUUGACCACAUAGAGGACUGGGCGUCGCUUUAUCACCACCUGGACAACAUGAAAAAGGAGGCAAGGAUAGAAGUCUUCCCCAGUAUGUCCACAAGUUCCCAUUCUCCACUGGCUUCCAGGAGCCAAAGGUAAAAGUACAAUUCUGCACAUCAAAAGGAAAACUGAAGAUCUUCAAGUUGCAGGCUGAGACGAGACGCAGCAUCCUAUCCCAGCGAAUGUGACCCGUGUGGUUGACGUAGACGUAUGGACAAGAUUGGGAGACGUCAGCGUCCACACUGGACAUCAGUUGACGGAUGACUCUAAGAUCUCUUCCCAGGCUCCGAAGCUCGUCCACCACCUUGUCCCUGUCCAGUGGCCCUUCUGGUCCGUGGGCCCCUCCGUCACCUCCUCUCUGAGUGUCCAUUUCUGUUGUGGGGGAGGCAGGAAUCAGAACCAGGCGGCCCAUCAUAUGGAUGACUAGCAGUCGGAUCCAGCGAGGAACCUCUGGGUAGUGAGCGGAACUGUGCAACAGGUUGGUGAUGAGAAUGGUCUCCAGGAGACUCGCUACCAUCAGACCCAGGCAA